rnacentral:rRNA from 1 species
CCUACGUGAGGCAGCAGUGGGGAAUAUUGGGCAAUGGGCGCAAGCCUGACCCAGCAACGCCGCGUGAAGGAAGAAGGCUUUCGGGUUGUAAACUUCUUUUCUGAGGGACGAAUAAAGUGACGGUACCUCAGGAAUAAGCCACGGCUAACUAAGUGCCAGCAGCCGCGGUAAUACGUAGGUGGCAAGCGUUAUCCGGAUUUAUGGGGUGUAAAGGGCGUGUAGGAGGGAAAGCAAGUCAGAUGUGAAAGCUCAGGGCUCAACCCUGAGCCGGCCUUGGAAACUGUUUUUCUUGAGUGCUGGAGGGGCAAUCGGAAUUCCGGGUGUAGCGGGGAAAUGCGUAGAUAUACGGAGGAACACCAGUGGCGAAGGCGGAUUGCUGGACAGUAACUGACGCUGAGGCGCGAAAGCGUGGGGAGCAAACAGGAUUAGAUACCCCGGUAGU